UCUCCGUAGGUGAACCUGCGGAGGGAUCAUUACAGAGUUCAUGCCCUACCGGGUAGAUCUCCCACCCUAUGUUAUUAUUACUUUGUUGCUUUGGCGGGCCGUUAGGCUCCGGCCCGACUACCGGCCCCGGCUGGUAAGCGCCCGCCAGAGUACCCAAAAGCCUGAAUAUUAGUGUCGUCUGAGUACUAUAUAAUAGUUAAAACUUUCAACAACGGAUCUCUUGGUUCUG
rnacentral:misc_RNA from 1 species